rnacentral:rRNA from 1 species
AUUGAACGCUGGCGGCAUGCCUUACACAUGCAAGUCGAACGGCAGCACGGGAGCAAUCCUGGUGGCGAGUGGCGAACGGGUGAGUAAAGUAUCGGAACGUGCCCAGUCGUGGGGGAUAACGUAGCGAAAGUUACGCUAAUACCGCAUACGAUCUAUGGAUGAAAGCGGGGGAUCGCAAUACCUCGCGCGAUUGGAGCGGCCGAUAUCGGAUUAGGUAGUUGGUGGGGUAAAGGCUCACCAAGCCGACGAUCUGUAGCUGGUCUGAGAGGACGACCAGCCACACUGGGACUGAGACACGGCCCAGACUCCUACGGGAGGCAGCAGUGGGGAAUUGUGGACAAUGGGCGAAAGCCUGAUCCAGCCAUGCCGCGUGCAGGAUGAAGGCCUUCGGGUUGUAAACUGCUUUUGUACGGAACGAAAAGGUUUGGCCUAAUAAGCUGAGCUCAUGACGGUACCGUAAGAAUAAGCACCGGCUAACUACGUGCCAGCAGCCGCCGUAA